GAUGAAGAACGUAGCGAAAUGCGAUAAGUAAUGUGAAUUGCAGAAUUCAGUGAAUCAUCGAAUCUUUGAACGCACAUUGCGCCCCUUGGUAUUCCGAGGGGCAUGCCUGUUCGAGCGUCAUUAUAACCCCUCAAGCUCAGCUUGGUGUUGGGGCCUGCUGCACUGGCAGCCCUUAUAAUCAGUGGCGGCGCCAUCUGGCUCUAAGCGUAGUAAUUCUUCUCGCUAUGGAGUCCUGGUGGAUGCUUGCCAUCAACCCCCAAUUUUUCUAUGGUUGACCUCGGAUCAGGUAGGGAUACCCGCUGAACUUAAGCAUAUCAAUAAGCGGAGGA
rnacentral:misc_RNA from 1 species